GGAGUCGUAGUUCAGUUGGUUAGAACGCAUGCCUGUCACGCAUGAGGUCGCGGGUUCGAGUCCCGUCGGCUCCGCCA
rnacentral:tRNA from 1 species